GAGGGACUUUUGAGGCCAAUCGGUGCUCAUUCUAAAACUAGCCAACUGUCUCCCUCACCACCCACUGAAGAUCUGGCUGAGCUGAGCAAAAGGACCUAUGGCUCUGUAGAUGGAGCAGGAUGUGCUGCAGUUUUCCACAGCCCUCAUCGUUUGGGCCACCUUUGAGAUUUCAAGUGAUGGAGACUUACUGCUGAAUAGCACUUUGAGAGGAGCAGACAGAAGACCCAGGGCACCCACUCCCAGAGGUGACUGGGGCGGGAGAGGGGUGGAAAAGUUGCCCUUUUCUUAAAGAUUUCAGAAACUUUCCAUUCAGAUGAUGGGUUAUCUUCAUUUUCUCUUUGCUUACCUGUUAUACAUAUCCUAAUUUUCCCAUGGAAAACAUAAGUAUGGAAAAAUUCCUGCUCAUUCUAAGUCUUGUAGCUUCAGGGCGGUUUUGUUCUCAGGACAUUCUGGAUCUUCAGGAAGAAUCCAUCCAACUGUAAGGUGAAACUACUACAGGCUGUACUAUGGACUGAAUGUUUGUGUUGCCCCAAAAUUUAUAUGUGAUGAUAUUAGGA